rnacentral:rRNA from 1 species
GUCCACGCCGUAAACGAUGGGUGCUAGGUGUGGGGGGUGUCGACUCCCCCCGUGCCGAAGCUAACGCAUUAAGCACCCCGCCUGGGGAGUACGGCCGCAAGGCUAAAACUCAAAGGAAUUGACGGGGGCCCGCACAAGCAGCGGAGCAUGUGGUUUAAUUAGACGCAACGCGAAGAACCUUACCAAGGCUUGAAAUGCUCGAGAAAACCGGAGAAAUUCGGUCCCCCGCAAGGGCUCGAGUACAGGUGGUGCAUGGCUGUCGU